CUGCCAGCCCGGAGGGUCCCCCGUCAGGUGAAGAAGGAGCACCCCGACUCCUCCUCGGAGGGGGAUGAGGUGGGGACCAGCAGGGGGGCUGCCCAGGCCCCCCUCACCCUGGAUAUGGUCAGCAUGGAAGUGAUGUCGGGGUCGGAGCCCACGGCCGGCGCCUCCCAGAGUUCAGAUGAUUCUGGCAUCGAAACCAGCGAGUGCUGCCCUGACGCCGGGGUCCCAUCCCCAGAUCUGAAUGAGAUCGUCAUUAACGUCACGCUGGAGUCGGGGG